GGGGGGGGCCGGAUCCUGGGCUGUGUCCCGACGUCCUGUGCUCCAUGUCUCCGCUAUUAGAUUCGCGCUCCCGGCUGCGCAGCCGCCU
rnacentral:pre_miRNA from 1 species